rnacentral:rRNA from 1 species
AGGCCGGGAACUCAAAGGAGACUGCCAGUGAUAAACUGGAGGAAGGUGGGGAUGACGUCAAGUCAUCAUGGCCCUUACGACCAGGGCUACACACGUGCUACAAUGGCGCAUACAAAGAGAAGCGACCUCGCGAGAGCAAGCGGACCUCAUAAAGUGCGUCGUAGUCCGGAUUGGAGUCUGCAACUCGACUCCAUGAAGUCGGAAUCGCUAGUAAUCGUGGAUCAGAAUGCCACGGUGAAUACGUUCCCGGGCCUUGUACACACCGCCCGUCACACCAUGGGAGUGGGUUGCAAAAGAAGUAGGUAGCUUAACCUUCGGGAGGGCGCUUACCACUUUGUGAUUCAUGACUGGGGUGAAGUCGUAACAAGGUAACCGUAGGGGAACCUGCGGUUGGAUCACCUCCUUACCUGAAAGAAGC